CACGUAGGGGCCAAGCGUUGUCCGGAUUUAUUGGGCGUAAAGAGCUCGUAGGCGGUUCGGUAAGUCGGAUGUGAAAACUUUGGGCUCAACCCAAAGCGUGCACUCGAUACUGCUGUGACUAGAGUUCGGUAGGGGAGUGGGGAAUUCCUAGUGUAGCGGUGAAAUGCGCAGAUAUUAGGAGGAACACCGGUGGCGAAGGCGCCACUCUGGGCCGAAACUGACGCUGAGGAGCGGAAGCGUGGGUAGCAAACAGG
rnacentral:rRNA from 1 species